UGGGGAAUAUUGGACAAUGGGCGCAAGCCUGAUCCAGCCAUGCCGCGUGGGUGAAGAAGGCCUUCGGGUUGUAAAGCCCUUUUGUUGGGAAAGAAAAGCAGCCGGCCAAUACCCGGUUGUUCUGACGGUACCCAAAGAAUAAGCACCGGCUAACUUCGUGCCAGCAGCCGCGGUAAUACGAAGGGUGCAAGCGUUACUCGGAAUUACUGGGCGUAAAGCGUGCGUAGGUGGUGGGUUAAGUCCGUUGUGAAAGCCCUGGGCUCAACCUGGGAACUGCAGUGGAUACUGGAUCACUAGAGUGUGGCAGAGGGUAGUGGAAUUCCCGGUGUAGCAGUGAAAUGCGUAGAGAUCGGGAGGAACAUCAGUGGCGAAGGCGACUGCCUGGGCCAACACUGACACUGAGGCACGAAAGCGUGGGGAGCAAACA
rnacentral:rRNA from 1 species